UAAGGGUUCCGGUGGUUGAAUUA
rnacentral:tRNA from 1 species